AGCCUCAGGGUCAUACUUGGAGAGUUUCCAGUACUCUACCAGGCUUGACUACGGGAGGGGGAAUCAAGCAGAGGCUUAUCCAUUCCAUUCCUAGUUUGGGCAAUGGCUAGUGAGUGGAAGGCAAUCUGCUACAAGU